CCAUCCAAGGUUUUCUGCCUCAAUGUCUGUAUUAGUGUCCUAUAGCUGCCAUAACAAAUUACCAUGAACUGGGUGGCUUAAAAGAACAGAAAUUUAUUGUCUC